rnacentral:rRNA from 1 species
UACGGAGGGUGCGAACGUUAAUCGGAAUUACUGGGCGUAAAGCGCGCGUAGGCGGUUCGGUAAGUGGGAUGUGAAAGCCCUGGGCUCAACCUGGGAACUGCAUUCCAAACUGCCGAGCUUGAGUGUGGUAGAGGGAGGUAGAAUUUCCUGUGUAGCGGUGAAAUGCGUAGAUAUAGGAAGGAAUACCAGUGGCGAAGGCGGCCUCCUGGAUCAACACUGACGCUGAGGUGCGAAAGCGUGGGGAGCAAACAGG